rnacentral:pre_miRNA from 1 species
CUCACCCAGGGAUCUUGUUAAAAUGUAGAUUCUGACCCAGUAGGCCUGGGGUGGGCCUGAGGAUCUGCAUUUCUAACAAGUUCCCAGGUGGUGCCCA